rnacentral:rRNA from 1 species
GAUGAACGCUGGCGGCGUGCCUAAUACAUGCAAGUCGAGCGAACAGACGAGGAGCUUGCUCCUCUGACGUUAGCGGCGGACGGGUGAGUAACACGUGGAUAACCUACCUAUAAGGCUGGGAUAACUUCGGGAAACCGGAGCUAAUACCGGAUAAUAUAUUGAACCGCAUGGUUCAAUAGUGAAAGACGGUUUUGCUGUCACUUAUAGAUGGAUCCGCGCCGCAUUAGCUAGUUGGUAAGGUAACGGCUUACCAAGGCAACGAUGCGUAGCCGACCUGAGAGGGUGAUCGCCCGCACUGGAACUGGACCACGGUCAAGACUCCUACGGGAGGCAGCAGUAGGGAAUGUUCGGCAGUGGGCGAAAGCCUGGCGGAGCAACGCCGCGUGAGUGAUGAAGGUCUUCGGAUCGUAAAACUCUGUUAUUAGGGAAGAACAAAUGUGUAAGUAACUAUGCACGUCUUGACGGUACCUAAUCAGAAAGCAACGGCUAACUACGUG